GAUGAACGCUGGCGGCGUGCCUAGUACAUGCAAGUCGAGCGAACGGACGAGAAGCUUGCUUCUCUGAUGUUAGCGGCGGACGGGUGAGUAACACGUGGAUAACCUACCUAUAAGACUGGGAUAACUUCGGGAAACCGGAGCUAAUACCGGAUAAUAUUUUGAACCGCAUGGUUCAAAAGUGAAAGACGGUCUUGCUGUCACUUAUAGAUGGAUCCGCGCUGCAUUAGCUAGUUGGUAAGGUAACGGCUUACCAAGGCAACGAUGCAUAGCCGACCUGAGAGGGUGAUCGGCCACACUGGAACUGAGACACGGUCCAGACUCCUACGGGAGGCAGCAGUAGGGAAUCUUCCGCAAUGGGCGAAAGCCUGACGGAGCAACGCCGCGUGAGUGACGAAGGUCUUCGGAUCGUAAAACUCUGUUAUUAGGGAAGAACAUAUGUGUAAGUAACUGUGCACAUCUUGACGGUACCUAAUCAGAAAGCCACGGCUAACUACGUG
rnacentral:rRNA from 1 species